rnacentral:lncRNA from 1 species
GUAUAUACUUGUAGAUGCCUUUAGAACAAUGAUCGUAUCUUUUUUUAUCUCCAUUGCUCCAGCAUCUAGUACAACGUCUGCAAUGGAACAGGCAAGCUGUGAAUAUUUGUGAUAUGCUUGGGUGGACUAAAGACCCAUCGCCUCUCUCUAGAGUGCCCAGCAUGUUGGAGCAUGUGAAGCACUAUAUGAGCUGCUGAGGAUACAGGGAUAAACAACAACACAGGUGUGUUCUUUGCCCAAACCAGGCAUAAAUGAGCUUCCAAAUGAACACAAACAAAUCUGGAAGGCUUUUGAGGAAGAAGGACCAUUACAAAAGGAAACAAGAAACCAAGAAUUGGACGAAUUGUCUGGGCUCAGUGGCUCACGCCCGCAAUCCCUGCACUUUGGGAGGCCGAGGAAGGAGGAUUACCUGAGGUCAGGAGUUCGACACCAGCCUGGCCAACAUGGUGAAGCCCUGUCUCUACUAAAAAUACAAAAAAAAAAAAAAUUAGCUGGGUGUGAUGGUGCAUGCCUGUAAUCCCAGCUAUUUGGGAGGCUGAGGCAGGAGGAUUGCUUGAACCUGGAAGGUGGAGGUUUCACUGAGCCAAAAUCACGUCACUGCACUCUAGCCUAGGCAACAGAGUGAGACUCCGUCUCAAAAAAAAAAAAAAAAAGAAUUGGACAAAUGAAAUAUGCAGACAUAGUCACUGCCUAUGAGCCAAAAUACAAAUUUUUCUUUUAAAUGUUAAUAUUACAUUGAAAAAGAAAAGAAACUGUGUUUUCCUUAGUUUCAUUAUAAUAGAGCUAUAACAAUAUUUUAAUUAAAAUGCAUAGGAAGCAUAAUAAUGUAAUUCAGCAUAAAAAUACUAAUGUAC